UACGUAGGGACCGAGCGUUGUCCGGAAUCAUUGGGCGUAAAGAGCGUGUAGGCGGCCACUUAAGUCCUGCGUGAAAUCUUGCGGCUCAACCGCAAGCGGUCGUGGGAAACUGGGUGGCUAGAGUGCGGGAGAGGAGAGUGGAAUUCCUGGUGUAGCGGUGGAAUGCGCAGAUAUCAGGAAGAACACCGGUGGCGAAGGCGGAUCUCUGGGCCAUUACUGACGCUGAGGAGCGAAAGCGUGGGGAGCGAACAGG
rnacentral:rRNA from 1 species